GGGAGUUGUAGUUCUGCAUCUGGAGAUCUACCUGUUGGGCAGCCCUGAUCUACACCAAAACUGCAUCAUUAAUCUAAACUGGUUUUGAUGCCUACAGUGACCCAAGUCCUGCUCUCUGAGCAUCUAUGCAACUGAAAUGUAUUUGAUAGAUUUUGGCCUUUCUUGUACAAUUUCUUAAGGUCUAUGGGGAGCCCUCAGGUUCAUGCAGUAGUGCAUGC